UUAAUUUAACAACUUGAGUACGAUAUUGUUCUAUAAGAGGCUCUUAGGAUUUGGCCGGCGUGAGGAAGUUUUUUGAAACAAAUAGAAUCACAAACUUUCACUUUCAGUCAAACUUAUCAACUUCCGGCUCAAAAUGUUAUGACUCAUGUAUAUUUAAUAAAAUGAUACCGGGGAGUUGUUUAUCUGUGGAUGUCGAAAAUCUGCUUAAAGGGGCUAUACUCCGUAUGAUAAAAUAGCGGAAAAAAACAGAAAAUUUUCGAAAACUGACAUAAACUUGGCAUCGAUGUGUACAAUGCAUUGAAACUUACUAACUGAAGAACCCGGUCUCCGACACAGUUUUUUUUUUACAUUUUGGUACUUUUUUUUACAAUUAUGAUAAAGGGUAACACAGUCCAUUAGAUAAUUGUCCUGAGAUUCGUUACAGAAGAAAACUUUUUUGGUGCGAAUCUGGUGUACAGUCCCUUUAAGGGUUCAUUGUACUUUGCGCUCAUUAUAAAUAGAUAAAUGAAGGGUCUUCUCAUUGAUACAAAAAGCUUAGUUCCUUCAUUCACAGCAACAUAUAAUUGAUUAACGCAAGAUUAGCAGCAUCAGUAGAAGUUAUAUGAUAGUUAGUAGAAGGAAUAGUAGUAGCUGUUGUUGUAGAAGUGGCAACAACAACAACAACAAUUCAGCAGGAGCGGCAGUAGUUUAGGGGUAUCAUCAUCAUCAUUAUCAUCAUCAUUAUCAUCAUCAUCAUCAUCAUCAUCAUCGGUGGUGGUGGUGGUGGUGGUGGUGGUGGUUGCGGUGGUGCUGACGGUGGUGUUGUGGCGGUGGUGUUGACAUUGGCAAUAGCAGAAGUAGUAGUGGCAGUAUCAACAACAAUAGCUGCAGCAUUACCACCUGUAUUACUAAGACUUAAGAGCACACAUAUUAAAUGACCAACAUAGUCGGUUCUGUUCGGUGGGGUUAAAUACCUAUUUACAGUAACGUUCUGAGUCAUGUUAUUAUUUGGGGUGGGGGUGGGUCAGUAUUUUACAGAAAAGGAGUCACUCAAGGACAGGGACCAUUGUUGUGAGUUUAUGUCGGUCAAAACAUGUUCUUUCACAGGUCACGGUAUGAAGACAAUGCCAGAUGAACACAAAACUAAGCAAUUUUUUAGAUUUAAACAUUGCAAAAACAAAUCCCAAUCAGUUAUACGAAAAUGCAUUUUAACCGCCUCAUGUGUUCAUGAUAAUAUGAACAAAAUUGAAGUAAAUUUAACAUUCGGAGAUUCAGUUUAGCCAAUGUGAUAUAUUUUUUCAAGUUUCGUUUGUAUUUCCCAUUUUCCAUGGUGUAUACGUAUACUUACGAACUCAAUAUUUUUUACAGUGAAAUAAAAACAACAAAGCUUUAAAAAUGAACAAUAAGAGUGUGUGUUGUUUUUGUUAAAAAAUGUGAACCCAAUAAAUCUGACAUUUUAAAAUCAAUAUCCAUACGCUUAGUAAAGCAUACCCUUAAAUAUAAUUCGACCUACGAGACGGCCAGAUUCAUAUAUAAUGUAAUAUAGGUUACAUUUUCAUUCCAAAUAAAACGGUUGGUUAAGCAUACCAUUUUCAUUAACAUCUGUCAUACACAUGUAUGUCUAAAACGAUAAUGUUACUCAUUAAAAACAUCAUAUUUUUGUUUAAGAAUAAGUAAAUAAUAAGUUUUACUAAAUUAAGUACUCUGUAAUUUUAAUGAAUUGUAGUUAACACUUGAUACUUCUUCACGUCUUUCUGGGCAAAAUUAAAUACAUUCUUCCAAAUCUUGACCCAAACUACAGCAACUCCCUAGAUAUGAAAACAUGAUUAAACACAUGGUCAGAUUCUCGGUCAAUUAGGGGUUAAUGUGUAGCUGAAAUUGGCUCUUGUGUAGAAAUGAAAAGUGGAAAAAUUGGCUGGUAUUUCUUGGCAUGAUUGAUGUUUCAAUGAGUAUUACUGUACGAUUAUUGCUUCAUAAAGUCUAUAUUAAAAGUGUGAUACAAGUUUCAAAGUUAAUUGGCGGAUCGUUUUACAAACAUGUCAUGUCUGUGUUUUCUUAAUCUCUGCAUUGCCCUUGUUGUUUCUUUAAUCCUCCAUUGAAUAUAUCACACAUCCUUUUCACCAGGCAAUAAAUCGUUUAGGAUGGGUAGUAACCAACUAACUUAUCACAGUGAUGUAUACGGUUAGGUAAUCUAGCCAGGCAUUGUAACGAUAAAGAUCAAUAAUUUUUGUCUGUGAGACUUAGUAACUGUAAAAGUUCAGUCGAUGUCCUUUGGGUGUCCGAAAAUUAGGUACCUAAAAUAAAUUAUUUUUGAAAAUAAUAAUGGAUGUCCGAAUUUAUAGAAUGUCCGAGCUCUUAAGGUGAAUUAAGUUUGUGCUUGUGUGGCAGGUAUGUUUCAAUUCUUGAACUAUAUUUUCUUGUCAGAUACAAAUGUGUCAGAUACUGACUUUCGGAUUGAUAUGUCAGACUUAAGUGUGCAAUUUUGGCAAUAAAACCUGCAUGUUACUCAAGUUCUUCAAACCUGAACCCCCAGGUCCUCUUGACAGCAUUGAGGUUUCCUUGGCUAAUGGCUUAUAUGGUAAAUUUGCCGUCCCACUCUUUAUGUAAUUAUGUUUCAGGGAGGUUAGUAUUCUACAGAGGGUGAUUGAAAGCAAACGGGUGCAUAAAGAAAAGUAAAACCGUUCCUGGAAAGUCUCAAAUAAUAGCAGAGUGGUGUACCAUAACUUAGUUGAAAUCCAACCAUCAUUGUCAAAAGUAUUUAACCAGACAAAUAAAGAAUGUUUCCUUUGAAGCAUGUAACAUGUUUAAAAACUACUGAUAAACCUGAAAAUUGAUGACUUUUAUUUUUGUUACUUUCUGAGUCAACAGUUACUGAAAUCAAUAUAUCAAAAAAAAUAAAAAAAAAAAUAAAAAAAUAAAAAAAAUAUUCAGACCUACCUACCCUAUUUUUUUUAGCAGUGUUACCUGAAACACACCUAUUUUUUAUUUGGCCUUAUGGUAUUAAUUUCCAAUAACAAGAUACAAAAUUAAACAUAUCGGCACAUUUUUAAUACAAUAAGCAUAUAAAAAGCGCAUAAUCUCAUUCGUCAAACUCACUACAUUUUACAAUACUUCUAUGCAAUUUAAUAAAAAAGAAAUUCUAAAGUAAUAUGGUCUAUAUAUUUAAAAAAUAUUGGCUUAAGGUCACAAUUCCUCUCAAUGGUAGAACAUCUAUGAAUUAAAAAAUUAUUACAUUUAAUAUUCAGCCUGCUUAUAAUAUUUCCUUCGCAACAUAAAAAAAUAGCUAGUGUGAAUGUUUCUAUUUGUCAUAGUUUCAGAGUUUAUUGGCAAAUCACACUACACUAUUAGGAAUAAAGAAGGAAUACAACUACUAGAUUUAACUUUGUUUAUGUUGUUAUUUUUAUGUUUUAUACUUACAGUAAACUUAUUUUGUAAAUUCAAAUGGUAUUAAAUUAAUUCCUCAUAAUUAUAGGAGUCAACGGUUAAGAUAUGACCAUUCGAUUUCUUAACGGUUACGAAUUGACUAACACAAUGGUUACGAAAUGACCAACAAUGAGCGGUUACGAAAUGAUCAUAAUUCAUUUGACAGGGCUUUUACCAGCUGUUUGUCUGUGCAGAGCGGGAAUUUUACCUGGGAUUGGCUGGACCGAAAGUCAAAGUCCCCGCUAUUAGCAGGACCUUGGGGGCCCAUGCUGCAAUUGACUGUUGCAUUAUUUGGAUUUUUUCUUAACUUUACGACAUGCCCCCCUACAGCAUUUUAUAGUUAAGUUUAGUAAUAUUUUUUUACAGAAAUUGGAUAACUUAACAAGUAAAGUAAACUGUACUGAGCUUUUAAACAAACCUACAUACUUAUAGAUCAAAAUUGAUAUUUUAGGGUCUACACUGAAUAAACCCAAAAUGUUAGUUUUGAUUUGCUAAAUUCGAACAGUAUUUAGUCAAUCCACACAAAAUUUACAGGAUCAUCAGAUAACAAAUUUUCUAAAAAUUCUCCGUUUGCCAAAUAGGGAAGACAGGAUUAAGUGGGAUUAAAAGGUUGCUAUCUGUGACCAAAAAAAUACUGUUCAAAAUUGUGAGUAUUCAUUUAUCUUUCGUUCAGUAAAGAGCAUGCAAUGGCAUAGUGGUUGGAUUAGAUAAUCUGACAGCGGUGCUGGACGUCAGGAGUUCAAAUAUUGUUGUGAGUUCAAUGUACCAAAAGAAUACCUUUGGAAUACACUACCGGGUAUUAUCUAUAAAAAUGGCAGAGCAAAUUGCCCAUAUUGUAGUAAUGUCUUAGAUCCAGCUUGGAUAACUUGGACACAGUAAGCGGUUCACACCCAGGGAAAUUCUCAGAUAAAACAGCGCCUAUAAACUUGAACAUUACAUUUGUCAUUGAGACAAUUAAAGAAAAAACAUUAUUGCUGAUCUUCUGAAAACAAAUCCUCUAACAUUCAAAUAUUUAAUUUGUUGGAUGAACUAAGGUUUAUAUUGAUAAGAGAUUGCUUCAGUUGGAUUUAAACUAAUCACCAACAAAAAUAUAUGCAUUUAAAUCACACAAUGUAAACAACUGCGCCACAGAUCUUAUCUGUAUGUUUUGGGUUUUUAAAAUUUAGCAGUUAAAUAUAGAUUAGCAUACUGGUAGGUCUGGUUGGUCUGUUGCUUUAGUUGCUAAGUAAACAUAAUGUCAGUGAUUUCAUCACUAUUUCUAUUAAAAUAUCAGUUUUCCUCUUCAGGGCUUCUUACAUUUGCACCAUUUUUUUACCAUUUGAAUCAUAAAAAGAUAACAAACACAUGAACUUAACACUUUGUGAAUAUUUAAGGAUUGUAAGGGGUCAGAUUUCAGAUUGCUCAUUAUUGCUGGAACACUAAAUACUUUAUUUGAUUGUGUACACUGCACUUUCUUGUUAAGCAUUCAUCCAAAUCAUUUGGGUAAAUUUUGGCAGAAAAACUGCUUUUGGAUUUAUACUGGUCAUCAAAACCGGCACUGACAAAACAUAAGACGUGUUUAAUUAAUGUGCGGGAAAGAGGUUUAAAGGUGUCGGCCCACAACGAAAGGCUUGCGGGUUGCAGUACCCCUUUAAGUAGUUCUUGAAAAAAAUGAUUCUCUGAGGUAGCAUUUGAUUAUGUGUACAUUGUAUUCUUGUAUGUAUUUUCAAGUUAACACAUGAUUUAUAUAAGGUUUGUAUAAUUUUAGUUUUAUUUAAGUUUUAAAAUUUUGAUAUUUUUUUUAAGAUUUGCCUGCCCCUGUCUGAACACUUAAAUUCUUGGUCUUUGGUCUAUUGUCUGCAACUUCAAAACACACUUUUUGGAACAGGACACAUUUUCCUGAUAUUUUAUCCAGUUUGACUGCAAUAUAAGUUGUAUUUAUCAAUAAUUUAAGUAAAAAAUGACAUUUAUAUUUCCAUAAUUACCUGGUAGUUAUUUGUUAAUUUGUUUUAAUUCAUGGAUAGGUUUAUUGCGAGUGUCAUGGAAAGCUGGAACUUUUCAGUACACAACAUGCAAACUGAGAAUGAACUGUGUGUGCCGGCUUUGUGAACAAAAACGCAAGGCGGCUAUGAUACACUGUGUUGUGUGUGGAUAAGAAAUGCAGAGUGGUACCACCAAUUACCUAAGCCACCAUUCCCCUAACAGACAAAAGGCUCAUGGGGACAGUUCCUGCAGUUUACAGCAAAUUGUAGCCCUACAAACUUCAGAUACUGCCAAGCUUGGGUGCACUGGGCGGUUAUCCAGCCGUGUGGAAUCAACAUCUCCAGCUGAACUUGGGCCGGGAAUUAUAUAAGAAUCCUUAGCAGCAUGAGUGCCAGCCAGUCAUUGCUGUUCUUUGCAUUGCUGAGGAGGACAGUCCUGCCAACAUAACAGUUUGUUCAAUAACAGGAGACAAACAGAAACACAGAGGUGCUAUACAUUCCGAUGGAAAAUACAACAAAAGCAUCUCCCAUCAUUUUGGCGUGGCUCAGAUCAAGAGGAGAAUUUUAAGAAAGGUGAUGGUUGGGCACACACAAGAAGACAUAGAUCACAUGUGUCCAGGCAUAUGAGUAGACAGGAGUUUCACACUCUGCCAAACAUACUUCAUCAGAGGAGCAGAAAGCUUCUCAAGAUCCCGCACUGCACACUUAGAUAUAGUCUUUGACUACAACAAGGGGAUGAAAGUACAGAGAGGUCCAAUUGAAAUCAAUUCUGUGCUGCGUCAUUUCUUCAUUCUGGAAGUCGAUGGACAUGAUUUAUCAUGGCAUCAGGUGUGCAGUUUGUCGACUAUCAGCAGUCUUGUUCACCAGUUGUGCAACUUGAGCUGGUAGCUUUAUUGCUUGAAGCCACAGCAUAAGAGGGGGAAGGUGCAGGCUCAUCAAAAAGUCUCAAAAGUUGAAACUAGGAAAAGAAGUUUGUCAAGAGUGUGAAUAUUUGCUUUGAAAACCAUCUUUACGAUGAUUUGGUUUCCUUUGAAACUUGAUACAUACUAUGUGUAUGUUGAAUGAAUUGAGAUGCUUAAAUAAAGAACCGCUAUUCAAAUAUCAGGAAACUGCAUUUUUCAUACUAAUGUGUAAAUGAUGUCGCCAUUUCCUGUAUGUAUUUAAAUGAGAUAUGUUUCCACAAUUAAUAUUUUUAGGGAAUUUUUCUCAUCCUAAUGAAUGAGAUUAAAUUGUACAGCGUUAUAUGAGCUUAAUAUGUGUUUUCUGUUUCUUUAAAAUUGGUGAAAAAUUGUCAGAAGAUAAUUAGACCAUUAUCCAUUACUGCAAUCAUACAAUCAAAUAUACAGGGACAAACCCACUGGGCAUAUAAUAUAAUUAAACCCUGUUCAGGGGCACGAGGCAAACAGAGUUACUUUCAAACGUUAAAGCUGCACUCUCACAUUUUGGACGUUUUGACAACUUUUCUCAUUUUAGGUCUUGGAUUGGAACCAUCCAAUUUUUGCGAAAAAUUAAAUGGCAGAUUUUUCUUUUUAAGUUAAAACAUUGAUGUUUUAUGCACUUUUCUUAAACCGUUAGUAACAUUAAUUUUUGAACGGAAAUAUGAAAUCUGUGAUCUGAUCUUUUGUCAGCAAUCUUUUAUCAUUGGUUUGCAGAUAAUUACGCAAAAAAUUGCUCAUUCAAAAACAAAAAAAGUUGUGAAAACGGUAUAUCUGUGGGAGUGCAGCUCUAAAUGUUUAAUUUCUUGAUUUUACUACUGUAUUAGAAAUUACAGGGGUUGGGGCAUAUUUUUAGUGUUUUUAUUGCUUUUUAUGAUUCAUACAGUCAUACUUUAUUCCUCAGGGCAUAACUUACAAAUAGACAAAACUGGAAAAUGGUCGUUUCAAAAGGCCAAAGAUAAUGCAAGUUGAACAAUCAUAUUGUUCAUGGCUUGUAUUUUUGGUAUAUUUUGUUGCAUAUGCUAUAGAAAAGUUGAAAGUUAAAAAUAAAUUCAUAGUUGAAAUGAUGGCUUUGAAUGGUAUUGUCAGAUGAGAAAAGGCACUUUUAAGAAAUAGGUAUAAUGGUACUUUAUUUAUUUUGAUCAAUUUUAGAUAUUGUAUGAAAAUUAUUAUCUUAUUUAGUACAUGAGACCUUUUAAACAGUUAUUGACAAUAUAACAAUGUGUAUAUGAAGCUUUAGAUCAACACUUAAAGCUUCACUCUUACAGAUUGUCAGUUAAGACACAAAAUUGUCUCAAAAUCUGCUGAUUUGGUUAUCAUUCCUUUAAUUCAGUCAUAUUAGAUAAUUCACAAUAGAACCCAUCAGAAAUGUAAAAGUGCCGAAAAUUUCAUUUACAUUAAAUUGUUCGUAAUGCUUUUAGCCAUAAAACAUCAUUUUUAGCUCCACUGGCCGAAGGCCAUGGAGCUUAUGUCGUCACAGAUUGUCCGUCGUGAGUUCGUGCUUGCGUGCGUGCGUGCGUGCGUAAACUUUUACUAUAAACGACAUCUCCUCUGAAACUGAUAAGCGGAUUUUGACAAAACUUCACAGGAAUGUUCCUUUGGUGGUCCUUUACCAAAAUUGCUCAAAUGGUUCCGGUCCAUUGCACAAUAUGGCCGCCAGAGCUAAAAAUAGCAAAAUCUUUAAACGACAUCUCCUCUGAAACGGUUCGGCAGAUUUUGAUGAAACUUGACAGUAAUGUUCCUUGGGUGGUCCUUUAUUAAAAUUGCUCAAAUGGUUCUGGUCCAUUGCACAAUAUGGCCGCCACAGCUAAAAAUAGCAAAAUCUUUAAACGACAUCUCCUCUGAAACGGAUAGGCAGAUUUUGAUGAAACUUGACAGAAUUGUUCCUUGGGUGGUCCUUAACCAAAAUCGCUCAAAUGGUUCCGGUCCGCUGCACAACAUGGCUGCCAGGGCAAAAAAAACCUUUAAAGAACAUCUUCUCAGAAACUGAUGAUCAGAUUUUGAUGAAACUUAACAGAAAUGUUCCUUGGAUGGUCCUUUAUCAAAUUUGCUUCAAUGGUUUCGGUCCACUGCACAAGAUGGCCCCCAGAGGUAAAAAUAGAAAAACCUUUAAACGACUUCUCCUCAGAAACCGAUGAUCGUAUUGCAAUGAAACUUGACAGAAAUGUUACUUGGGUAGUCCUUAACCAAAAUAGCCCAAACAGUUCUGGUCUGCUGCACAACAUGGGCACCAGAGCUAAGAAUAGAAAAAAAACGUUAAACUACAUCUUCUCAGAAACCGAUGAUCAGAUUUUGAUGAAACUUGACAGAAAUGUUCCUUGGAUGGUCAUUAACCAAAAUUUGUUAAAUGGUUCCAGUCCACUGCACACCAUGGCUGCCAGAGCUAAAAAAUAAAAAAAACUUUAUACGACUUGUCGUCGAAACCGAUGACCUUUUUUCGAUAAAACUUGACAGAAAUGUUUGUUUGGUGCUCCUUUACUCAAAUUGCCCAAAUCAUUUCGGUCCACUGCACAACAUGGCAGCCAGAGCUAUUAAAGUAAAAAAUUUUUUUAAAUAACUUCUCCUCAAAAAUUGAUGAUUGUAUUUCUAUGAAACUUGACGAAAAUGUUCGUUAGGUGGUCUUUGCUUGAACCUUUUGGCCAGUGGAGCACAGGCACUGAUGUGCCUCUUGUUUUAACAUAAAUAUGAUAAACUGCUAUCUGAUCUUUUUUCAGCAUUCUUAUAUCACUUAAAAUUGGGUCUAGACAUUUAUGCAAAAAAAUUGUCCAUUUAUAGACAAACAAUAAAAUAGUACCGGUAGUCAAAACGAUCAAUCGGUGAGAUUGCAGCUUUAAAUACACCUUUUAAGACCGCUGUAAAAUUCCAAUGGUUUGCCUAAAUCUUUAAAGCUAGCAUACUGUUUAAUUAACAACCAUACUUAUUGUUUAAAAGUGUCAUGAUAUCUUUGUACAAUGUUUUUUAUAUAAUUCAUUAAAGAAGUCAAAACAAAUUUGUUUAUCUUGUAAAUUGUUUUCUAUUAUUUAAAUGACCCAGACAAAAAUGGGAACGUCA